rnacentral:lncRNA from 1 species
UUUUUUUCUUUAUUUUUCUUUAUUUAUUUAUUUUUACAUUUUUUCUUUAAAACAUAUAAGCCUCACUGUACAAAAAUGAUUUUGGAUUUGCAAUAUUGUUACACUAUCUAUCAUAAUGCUAAACAAGGUACCAUAAGGGAGGGAAAAUUCAAAUAAAAGGACUCUGAGCUCUUUGUUAAAGAUUAUUGGCAAAAAGAUACAUUCAUGCCUUUCUUCAUGUUCUGCACAAUGAGAUUACACAUUUCAUACAAACCAUAUUUCUACCAGAUAUGAAACCUGUCAACUCUAAAGUUAAUUUAUCAAACUUUAGGUGUAGCUUUAAAAAAAAUGAUACUAUGCUGAUUUUAAACCGAAAUUACAAAAGAUAUAAAAGCCCCUAUGCUGUUGAGAGAGUCAACAUGAAAGCAGGAUAAGACUUAAGACUGGAAGAGAAGCUUAUUCUCUGUCUAGAGCCUAAAAAACAUGGUCUACCUCUUAUCCCAAGAUGUGUUAGAGCCCUAAAUACUACUGAACUCUUGAUUACCAGCUGUGGUCAUUCUAUUCUGGAACAAAUUAGGAAAACUGACUAAGCCUGUCUUCAACGGAAGUACUCUUCUCAGUAGGCAUUAAGGACCAUAAGAACAGCCUUGAAGAAAAGCAGGAAAGCAUCCACAGCUACAACCAGACAUCUGGUUUACCCUGCUUCCUCAGCACAUAUAUAUUUGAGAAAGGAAGCUAAGAGAACACAGAGGUUACAAUCUGCCAAGAGUGGUGGAGAAUAUUUUUAAAAAGAAUACUCCAGUGUUUCCAUAUUUGCCUAAUCUUUAAAAUUGGUAUCUUAUAAAAAUUUUUCAUACAACAUGACUAUGACCAUUCCUCCCCCAGAAUUACUUUCAUUAUUGAAUACUUUUAUGGAAACACAGCUUAGAAAUGGUUACCAGCAUCUGAGAUGCCAACCUACUGACCUCAUCCACUAAGAAGAAACCUUGGCCUGUUCAAGCUCUGGCUGGUUCAUUUAACUUGGUGAUUUUAAGAAAGCCGAACAGUUUGGGAUUAAGACAAGACAUCAGAUACAGGUGGCCCAAGUAAGAGGCUGUUGUAAAAAUCAUCCUAGAAGUGAUAUAGCCUGAAUUAGUGCAGUUACAGGGAAAAGGUAAGGAGGAGAAUAUGCACUGGUAUACACAUAAGAGAUAAAAAUCAGCCAAAUUUGGUGACAGACCUAGUGUGGUGAGGCUGAGUUUGUUGGAGGAAGGAAGAGUUUGUUGAAGACUGGAAGAAUCAUCUAAGAGACCUAGUGUGGUGAGGCUGAGUUUGUUGGAGGAAGGAAGAGUUUGUUGAAGACUGGAAGAAUCAUCUAAGCAUACCACAUGGUACUUUUAAGAAUCUACAAAGAUGUUUUUAAUAUCUAGGAGCCCUUAGAUGAGAAUUAUGAGCUUCUCAUGGAAGAAGAUCAUUCAAUUCAUGCUUAUUGGGCUUAAUUAAAUAUCCUAUGCAAUAUUUUGAAUGAUACUAAAAUAACAUAAUUUUAAAUAAAAAAGGCUUAGCUUGUAUAUUAAAGACAUUCUUACAUUUCACUGAAAUUAAAAUGGCAAAGAAAAAUAACUUAGUUCAGCCCUAAAGAGAUACUGUCAUUGACACUACAGAAAAAGGGUAAGAAACUUCAAGCCCAGUUCAAAAGUGACAGCCUGUCUCCUUGCUGAGUUAGUCCUCAGUUAGCAUUAAGUAUUUUGAAUGUUCUGCUUUCUCCAGGAACGUGAAAAGAAUAAGGACCAAAGAGAUAGGAGAGCAGAACACAGACAUUGACUCUGUCACUGUUAACAUCUUGGGUCCCUCUAGCUAUCUGGUCCUGAGUCUUCUCAUUGCCAAAAUGAAGAUUUCAGCCAGAUAAUUUAUAAAAAUCCACUCAUUUCUUAUAGUCUUUCAACCAUAGUGCUAAUUAAGAGCUUAAAUAUUAUACACUCAUAUUCUCAUUUAUAGUGUUUUUUGUAGAGGAAAGGGGAGUUUAGAGGACUGGAAGGCACCAAUUACCUUCCAGGUAAUUGCCCCAAUUUUUUAAAUGCCAGGCCUGCAUAUCAAUGGGUUUCAUACAGAGAAGAAAAACCCAAUAUAUAUUUACAUUGCACAAUGAGAUUACACAUUUUUAAAAUAAUCAACUAUUAUUUAUAUCAAUCUGGCAUACACAUUUAUUUCUAACUUAUAAGCUUAUUGAAUAUUUAAAAAAUUAAUAGUAUUUCCACAAUGCUUUCCCAGCUGUUAGUUUAAGGAUGUAGCCAGUUAGAAAAAGAGAUCAGACUUGUGGUUACCAGAGGUGAAGAGGAGGCAGACUGGAGGAAGGUAGUUGAAAGGCACAAACUCACAAACUUCCAGUUAUAAGUAAGUACUAGGGAUGGAAUGCAUAACUUAACAACUGUAGUUACCACUGCUCUAUAAAUAUACAGGAAAAGUUAAUAAAGUAAAUCCCAAAAGUUCUUAUUACAAGAAAAAGAACACUUUUUUCUUUUUCCCCCCAUUUAUCCUUAUGAGAUGAUGCAUGUUCAAUGAAUUUAUUGUGGCAAUUAUUUCACAAUACAUAUAGGUCAAACCUUUAUGCUGUAUACCUGAAACUCAUAAAGGGCUAUAUGUCAAUUACAUCUCAAUAAAACCAGGGGACAAGGUGGCAAGGGAUGUAGCAAAUGGUAAGUUUCAGGAACUUUCAAAAAGGAUAGGAUGAGUGACACAUUUUCCUUUAAUACUGUUAGAUUUUAGGUCUGAUCCCAUUUUUCGCUCCAAACCAAUGGGUCCAUUCGAAUUUGAAGGUUUAUUUACAUGAGCUGCUUCAUUUGCAGAAGCCUUUGAAAUAAUUUAAUUAAUUAUUCCUUAUAACUACUAUCUCAUUUAGCAAAUUAAUAUUGCCUUAGCAUGUUCAUGAAGAAUAUAUUUCUUAGGCAUAAAUGUGAUGGCAACCCUUCAGUAACUAUAUCAUACCAUCCUUGUGAAUAUUAAACUCUUCUAAUUACAAUCCAUGGACUCACUGUUCUUAAAAUCAUAUCCAACUUUUACUCAAAUAACUCAACAUGGCUAUUUUGGUUCAUUCUGGACAUCCAUAUAGAAUUCUUUCACACUUGCUCCAUGAUUAAGCUCCAUAAAUGCAAAUGUAACACACACUAACUUGGAUGUAACCAAAAGUGUAUGAUUAAAUAUCUUGAGGUUUAUUUUCCAGCAAACAAACCAGAGAUUAAUCCAUGGUAGUCAAGGCAGACCAGAAGGCACUUGACAGUUUAAAAGCCAUCAAAAUCGGCCAAAUGAUUGCUCUAUACCAGAAUGGGUGGUAAAUCUACUGCUGGGAGCUCCAUGGCUCUAGGACUCAGAGGCCAAAGCUAUACCAGAUGGCCAGUAAUCAAAUGACCUGUCAUGGUUUCCUGCAAAUGGCUCCUAAUGCACAAUGUAGGACAAAAGACAGGCUUUGUAGAAUUUCCUGUUGAGAGCAGCAUGUAAAACUCCCAUUGAUGGAUCCUAAAUAGUAAAUGAAUGAAUAAACAAGCAAACAGUAACAUAUGAAAGCUUUACUUUUGGUAAUUGAUUGAUUCAGGCAAUAGUUGGGAUCUUGGGGUAGUUGAAGUAAUCUAGUUCAUCCAUGACUGCCAACAUGUUCUUCCCCUAAUGGAGAAUGAGAGUACAAUGCAAAUUUUAAGCAUACUUUAUAAAAUACCAGCCUCUUCAGUGGAUUCUGUUCGACAUGGAUUUUGACUAUAUUAUAAUUCUCGGCAUUCUGAGCCAUUUUUUUGAUUUACAGAAUAAAAUAAAUGUUUAAAAUAUAGGAUUUGCAAUAUUGAAAUGGAAGUGAAAGAACAUUCAAGCUAAGAGAAUGAUAUAAAGAAAGAAGUAGUAAAGAAAGUAACAAAUCAAUAUCAUCUAUAUAGGAUUUUUGCUAAAAUGUUUAACAGGAACAUAAUCAUAAGGAAACCAUCAGACAGAUCCAAGUAGAAGGUAUCCUACAAAAUACUUCAAGUGUGCUCUUCAAAAAUACUAAUGUCACAAAAGAUAAAAUAUCACACAGGAAUGUUCUAGAUUAAAGAAUACUAAAGAAACAUAAUAAUCUAAUGCAGUUCAAUUCCUUAAUUAGACCCUAGAGGAGAAAACCAGCUACAAUACUUCUUCCCCCAAAUCACAGAAUUGUGAACAAGGACUGCAUUUUAGAUAAUAUUACUGAAUCAUUGCUGAAUUAUUGGAUGUGAUAAUAGUUGUGUAGGAGAACAUCUUUAUUUUUAAGAGAUGUAGCUGAAGUAUUUAGGGGUGAUGCAUCAUGUCUACAGCUUAGUCUCAAAUGGUUCAGUGAAAAAAACAAAUCUAUAAAUAAACACACACCCAUGAAGAGAGAUAAAGCAAAUGUGGCUUUGGUGAAUCUCAGUGAAACAAAUAGUUGUGGGGAGAGAAAUAAUGAGCCAGAUGGGACUAGAUUAGGAGGAUGGAUGGCUUUGAGAAGUGAGAAGACAGAGGCUAAGGUCUGUGGAGAAGGAGAGCAUGAACAACUGAUGGAGAUCUUUAGAUUGUCAAAUGAGGAACGUGGUCUUGACUUGGAAAAACAGCAGGGACACAGAAUACAUGACAGGCUUUGAUUUCAAAGUAAAACAAUGACUUCACAUGACAGGAAAUAAAUAUGGCAGCACUUGGCAGGAAGCACUAAAAAAGGAAUGAAUUGAAGGCCAAUUAGAACAGUCUCUCAUAAUAACCAAAGGGGACAUUUGAAAGAAAAGCUUGGCUUCACAGAAGCAGAGGAAUGAAAAGACAAAGACAGAUCCAAGAACCAGUAGGAAAUACAGAUUGUGGAUGGAUUGCUUACAGCGAUAUGUAUCCCUUAUGAUUAUUUCCCUCACCUGU